UACGUAGGGUGCAAGCGUUAUCCGGAAUUAUUGGGCGUAAAGAGCUCGUAGGCGGUUUGUCGCGUCUGCUGUGAAAACUGGAGGCUCAACCUCCAGCCUGCAGUGGGUACGGGCAGACUAGAGUGCGGUAGGGGAGAUUGGAAUUCCUGGUGUAGCGGUGGAAUGCGCAGAUAUCAGGAAGAACACCCGUGGCGAAAGCGGCUCUCUGGAACGGUACUGACGCUGAGACGCGAAAGCGUGGGGAGCGAACAGG
rnacentral:rRNA from 1 species